rnacentral:rRNA from 1 species
GACGAACGCUGGCGGCGUGCCUAAUACAUGCAAGUAGAACGCUGAAGGAGGAGCUUGCUUCUCUGGAUGAGUUGCGAACGGGUGAGUAACGCGUAGGUAACCUGCCUGGUAGCGGGGGAUAACUAUUGGAAACGAUAGCUAAUACCGCAUAAUAGUAGAUGUUGCAUGACAUUUACUUAAAAGGUGCAAUUGCAUCACUACCAGAUGGACCUGCGUUGUAUUAGCUAGUUGGUGGGGUAACGGCUCACCAAGGCGACGAUACAUAGCCGACCUGAGAGGGUGAUCGGCCACACUGGGACUGAGACACGGCCCAGACUCCUACGGGAGGCAGCAGUAGGGAAUCUUCGGCAAUGGACGAAAGUCUGACCGAGCAACGCCGCGUGAGUGAAGAAGGUUUUCGGAUCGUAAAGCUCGGUUGUAAGAGAAGAACGAGUGUGAGAGUGGAAAGUUCACACUGUGACGGUAUCUUACCAGAAAGAGACGGCUAACUACGUG